UUUAUCGCUGAAAGAUGGGCCCGCGUCUGAUUAGAUAGUUGGUGGGGUAACGGCCUACCAAGUCUACGAUCAGUAGCCGGACUGAGAGGUUGAACGGCCACAUUGGGACUGAGAUACGGCCCAGACUCCUACGGGAGGCAGCAGUGGGGAAUAUUGCACAAUGGGGGAAACCCUGAUGCAGCAACGCCGCGUGAAGGAUGACGGUUUUCGGAUUGUAAACUUCUUUUCUUAGUGACGAAGACAGUGACGGUAGCUACGGAAUAAGCAUCGGCUAACUACGUGCCAGCAGCCGCGGUAAUACGUAGGAUGCAAGCGUUAUCCGGAUUUACUGGGUGUAAAGGGAGCGCAGGCGGGACUGCAAGUUGGAUGUGAAAUACCGUGGCUUAACCACGGAACUGCAUCCAAAACUGUAGUUCUUGAGUGAAGUAGAGGCAAGCAGAAUUCCGAGUGUAGCGGUGAAAUGCGUAGAUAUUCGGAGGAACACCAGUGGCGAAGGCGGCUUGCUGGGCUUUAACUGACGCUGAGGCUCGAAAGUGUGGGGAGCAAACAGGAUUAGAUACCCUGGUAGUCCACACUGUAAACGAUGAUAGCUAGGUGUGGGGGGGUCUGACCCCUUCCGUGCCGGAGUUAACGCAAUAAGCUAUCCACCUGGGGAGUACGACCGCAAGGUUGCAACUCAAAUGAAUUGACGGA
rnacentral:rRNA from 1 species